GUCGAGAAUCUUCCCCAAUGGACGAAAGUCUGAGGGAGCGACGCCGCGUGCAGGAAGACGCCCUUCGGGGUGUAAACUGCUUUUCUUAGGGAAAAACGUUGAUGGUACCUAAGGAAUAAGGGGCUGCUAACUUCGUGCCAGCAGCAGCGGUAAGACGAAGGCCCCAAGCGUUAUCCGGAAUCACUGGGCGUAAAGCGUUCAAUGGUGGCUUGGUAUGUUCUCGGUUAAAUCUCACGGCUCAACCGUGAGGCCGCCGGGAAAACUGCCAAGCUCGAGGUCGGAAGAGGCACGUGGAACUGCCGGUGUAGUGGUAAAAUGCGUUAAUAUCGGCAGGAACACCGAAUGCGAAGGCAGCGUGCUAGGACGAUCCUGACACUCAAGAACGAAAGCGUGGGUCGCGAAUGGGAUUAGAUACCCGGGUAGUCC
rnacentral:rRNA from 1 species